CCCCCACGGGACGCAGCAGUGGGGAAUAUUGCACAAUGGGGGAAACCCUGAUGCAGCAACGCCGCGUGAGUGAAGAAGUAUUUCGGCAUGUAAAGCUCUAUCAGCAGGGAAGAAAAUGACGGUACCUGACUAAGAAGCCCCGGCUAACUACGUGCCAGCAGCCGCGGUAAUACGUAGGGGGCAAGCGUUAUCCGGAUUUACUGGGUGUAAAGGGAGCGUAGACGGCAGUGCAAGUCUGAAGUGAAAGGCAAGGGCUCAACCUUUGGACUGCUUUGGAAACUGUGCUGCUGGAGUGUCGGAGAGGC
rnacentral:rRNA from 1 species